UUUACAAUAUGGUAGCGCCCAUAAGAUUGCUUGUUUCAUAGCAUUUUCCAGUUUAGUAUACGUUCAAGUUACACAAGAGUGUGUAUCGGGCAGCAUGUAUACAUUUGUGUGUUGAAUACACAGUGACGCGAACCUAUGUCCAUACAGGUGACGUGAUGUUGUCGCCUGGAUCCCUCUUCAGUCAGGAAUGGUAUUCGUCUACCACUGGGAAGGCCGUGCUCUCAUCUCUUAUGACGAGAAACUUACUCAAAAGAAAACCGUUUGGUAUUUUAAUUUUUCAUGUUAGUUAAGCACACUUAUAGAAUAUCCCAAACCUAAUCUAUUUGUACACAAGAACUGAUUGGUUAAAUUACCUCAUUAUAUUAAAUUAUUAUUAAUUGGAUUCCAAAAAAGAAUAUCAGAUGAAAUGUUUAAUUCUCUUGAGCUUAAAAAUGCUAUAAGAAGAAAUCGUUCUUUGAAUAUUAUGAGGUGAUCAAAUAGCAAUUCUAUCAUAAUGCCUUUGGGCUUUAUUUGAUUUGAUCACCCCAACCGUUUUUUAUUUAAUUCUCAUGAUCUUCAACAUCAUCAGAAACCCCCAGUCGGUCUCGUUUCUCUAGGAGGUAGGAGAAGUGAGACCGGGAGGUAAGAGAAGCAAGACCGACAGUGGGUUUCCGAUGAUGAAUAUACAUGUAUACUCAAAGAAUGUUAUUCCUUAUUCCUUAAAUAAUACUGUACAGUAGCAUAACUUGCAAUAAUUCCAUAAAUGUACCUGUUAAACAACGUUAGGAACAAGCUCCUAGCUGUCACAGAAAGAUAACGACAAGCUAAAUGUAUAUUUUUAUUGUACAGGAAUUUUGGACAAGCCUGUUUUACCAUCGAACAUUACAGCAGAUGAAGUGAAGUACAAGAUUCUUUUAGUGGGGAAAAGUGGGAUCGGAAAAACUAGUACCAUAGCUAAAUUAUCAGGAAAUGAAAUUCCAGCCACUCACAGCGAAACCCCAGGUAAUCACUAUCCAAGUGCACAUGUCUUCAAGGAAAGGAUUUUUUUUUGUGCAAAAACGGACACAUAAUGAGUAUUUAUUAGCUUGAAUAUGUCUACAAAUACAAGUACAUGGAAGUCAAUAUUCAUCAUAUUUUGCUUUAAUUUUGGCAGGUAUCCACAUCACAACCACUCAAUGGCCUGGAAUGGUCAAACAAAUGAAUAAGAUUGUGAUGUUUCACCUUCAGUUCUGGGAUGUGGGGGAUGGAGCAAUGAAAAAAUACGAACACAUCAAAACGGUCAGUGUCCUGUCUCUUUAUUUGAAAUGGGUAAAAAACAAGAAAUUUAAACAGAUAGAAAUCAUCAGAAUUCAUGGUCAAAAUAAAACAGAAAGCUAUUUUAUUCACUACACAUGUAUUUGCCCUUAAAUUUUGUAUUUGUGUUGGUAAACAUAAUACAUGUAUAUGUUAAAUGAUGCAGUUCAGAUAUCAAGACUAUUUUCAUCAUGUUUAUGUACUAAUGAGACACACUAUAUGUAAUUACAGCUGUAUUGUAUGUAUAGGCCGUUACAAGCAUUAUGAUUGCUUGGCGAUCCAUAUUGGACCCUAUAAUACAUGUUAGUUUUUAACACAUAGUAAAACCAUUUGUAUAGGGUCAAUUAUUAUUAUCUAACAAAUUUUAAAUGCAGGUUAUUUUCACUUUCUUUCAGACCUGGGAGAAUCAGGCUGACUGUGUGAUCUUCCUGUUCAGCUUUGUGGACAGAGGAAGCUUUGAAGAAAUCUCACAGCAUAUCACCAGAAUGACCAAACCAAAGAAUAACUUCACAAAACUUGUCAUUGGCACCAAGUAUCCUUUGUUCUUU
rnacentral:misc_RNA from 1 species